CCUACGGGCGGCAGCAGUGAGGAAUAUUGGUCAAUGGGCGCGAGCCUGAACCAGCCAAGUCGCGUGAGGGAAGACGGUCCUAUGGAUUGUAAACCUCUUUUGUCGGGGAGCAAAAGACGCCACGCGUGGCGUUCCGAGAGUACCCGACGAACAAGCAUCGGCUAACUCCGUGCCAGCAGCCGCGGUAAUACGGAGGAUGCGAGCGUUAUCCGGAUUUAUUGGGUUAAAAGGGUGCGCAGGCGGAAGAUCAAGUCAGCGGUAAAAUUGAGAGGCUCAACCUCUUCGAGCCGUUGAAACUGGUGUUCUUGAGUGAGUGAGAAGUAUGCGGAAUGCGUGGUGUAGCGGUGAAAUGCAUAGAUAUCACGCAGAACUCCGAUUGCGAAGGCAGCAUACCGGCGCUCAACUGACGCUCAUGCACGAAAGUGUGGGUAUCGAACAGGAUUAGAUACCCCUGUAGUC
rnacentral:rRNA from 1 species